UUAAAUUGAAGAGUUUGAUCAUGGCUCAGAUUGAACGCUUGCGGCAGGCCUAACACAUGCAAGUCGAACGGUAACAGGAAGCAGCUUGCUGCUUCGCUGACGAGUGGCGGACGG
rnacentral:rRNA from 1 species